UAAAAACAGAUUUAUUGUAGAAUAGAAUCCAUAUUCUUUUACACCUUUAAGCCAAAACAUUAACUCAAAAAAUGUUGAUCUUUAAACCAGCCCUAUGAGUAAGAAGGACAGAUGUUUUUUGAUUCUGUGCGUGAAGAAUUUGCAGCUGAGAGGACAUGUGAAAUAACCCCCUUCUUACUUGUAAAUGUGCUCCUGCCACUGCCGUAGAACAUACAUGCGUUCUGGGGUGUUCCAUUUAUCCCUUUAUCCAGAAAUCCUCUGACCGGCCUGUGUCCUCUCCUGUCCCUUGCACACAUGCCCCCUGUGUACCCCUUUGCACAUCCAUGAUGCUGAUGCUGUGUGAGCGGGGCCUGGUGGUGGACACUUGUAAUUCCAGCACUCUGGGAGGCUGAGGCAGAAGGACUGCAAGUUCAAGUCCAGCAUGGUGCUAUAUGACAUAGCCAAGACCCAAAGAAGGGAACUGGCUCUCUGGUGGCACAAUGGAUCCGGGCAGACUCAGGUCACAAGGGAGAUCUCAAUGAUCCCAUGAUGCUGUAAUGCUCCAGGACAAGACCACACCUGCGGGAGACACCCUGGGAGGAACCAAAUCUUCAUCUGUGUAGUUCCUGGGAGGAACUAAAUCUUCAUCUGCAUAGUUCCUCAUUGUUCUUAGAUUUCCACUGCCCCCCAGCCUUUUGUUACACCUUGUUUAUCCCAAUGUGAGGUACUGAAC
rnacentral:lncRNA from 1 species